UGCCUAACACAUGCAAGUCAAACGGGUCAGUAGGUGUAGCAAUACAUCUAUUGGCUAGUGGCAAACGGGUGAGUAAUGCAUAGGUAACCUUCCCUUUAGUCUGGGAUAACCUCGGGAAACCGGGGCUAAUACCGGAUAUUAUCCCAACCUCAUAAGAGGAUGGGAUGAAAGGUUUUUCGCUAAAGGACGGGCUUAUGUCUGAUUAGCUAGUUGGUGGGGUAAUGGCCUACCAAGGCGACGAUCAGUAGCCGGCCUGAGAGGGUGUCCGGCCACACUGGGACUGAGACACGGCCCAGACUCCUACGGGAGGCAGCAGUGGGGAAUAUUGCGCAAUGGACGAAAGUCUGACGCAGCGACGCCGCGUGAGCGUCUAAGUCUUUCGGGAUGUAAAGCUC
rnacentral:rRNA from 1 species